CUUCUCUAUACAUCUCAUCCUCCUCGUCUUCAUACUCUUCUUCUUCUUCUUCUUCUUACCCUAUACACGACGUAUGUACAACGUAGAGUCCCGACUCGGACAAGGCGUAGGAUCGUCGUCGUAAACGAGUGUGCAGAUUGAAAAGGCCUUUUAACGGGCACCGUUACGCGUCUCGAUGGACGACGGUAAGGUGCAAGACGAACGAUUCACGACCUAAGACCUCGAAUUUCAAGGAUAGUUUGACAUUAAACCGGGAUUCUAGACAGCAAGUUCGAUUCCGAGGCAAUCCCGGCCAAUCCGGGUCGGUUGGCAACCCUAAUCGAGAGAGUACAAUGCACAUGCGGAGGCUGCCCUUUUGGUGUUUCAUGAACAAAUGGCUGGCACCCCAGAAAAAAGAAAAAAGAACAAAAAUAAAA
rnacentral:lncRNA from 1 species